GGGUUGUGAGGUUAAGCGACUAAGCGUACACGGUGGAUGCCCUGGCAGUCAGAGGCGAUGAAGGACGUGCUAAUCUGCGAUAAGCGUCGGUAAGGUGAUAUGAACCGUUAUAACCGGCGAUUUCCGAAUGGGGAAACCCAGUGUGUUUCGACACACUAUCAUUAACUGAAUCCAUAGGUUAAUGAGGCGAACCGGGGGAACUGAAACAUCUAAGUACCCCGAGGAAAAGAAAUCAACCGAGAUUCCCCCAGUAGCGGCGAGCGAACGGGGAGCAGCCCAGAGCCUGAAUCAGUGUGUGUGUUAGUGGAAGCGUCUGGAAAGGCGUGCGAUACAGGGUGACAGCCCCGUACACAAAAAUGCACAUGCUGUGAGCUCGAUGAGUAGGGCGGGACACGUGGUAUCCUGUCUGAAUAUGGGGGGACCAUCCUCCAAGGCUAAAUACUCCUGACUGACCGAUAGUGAACCAGUACCGUGAGGGAAAGGCGAAAAGAACCCCGGCGAGGGGAGUGAAAAAGAACCUGAAACCGUGUACGUACAAGCAGUGGGAGCACGCUUAGGCGUGUGACUGCGUACCUUUUGUAUAAUGGGUCAGCGACUUAUAUUCUGUAGCAAGGUUAACCGAAUAGGGGAGCCGAAGGGAAACCGAGUCUUAACUGGGCGUUAAGUUGCAGGGUAUAGACCCGAAACCCGGUGAUCUAGCCAUGGGCAGGUUGAAGGUUGGGUAACACUAACUGGAGGACCGAACCGACUAAUGUUGAAAAAUUAGCGGAUGACUUGUGGCUGGGGGUGAAAGGCCAAUCAAACCGGGAGAUAGCUGGUUCUCCCCGAAAGCUAUUUAGGUAGCGCCUCGUGAAUUCAUCUCCGGGGGUAGAGCACUGUUUCGGCAAGGGGGUCAUCCCGACUUACCAACCCGAUGCAAACUGCGAAUACCGGAGAAUGUUAUCACGGGAGACACACGGCGGGUGCUAACGUCCGUCGUGAAGAGGGAAACAACCCAGACCGCCAGCUAAGGUCCCAAAGUCAUGGUUAAGUGGGAAACGAUGUGGGAAGGCCCAGACAGCCAGGAUGUUGGCUUAGAAGCAGCCAUCAUUUAAAGAAAGCGUAAUAGCUCACUGGUCGAGUCGGCCUGCGCGGAAGAUGUAACGGGGCUAAACCAUGCACCGAAGCUGCGGCAGCGACGCUUAUGCGUUGUUGGGUAGGGGAGCGUUCUGUAAGCCUGCGAAGGUGUGCUGUGAGGCAUGCUGGAGGUAUCAGAAGUGCGAAUGCUGACAUAAGUAACGAUAAAGCGGGUGAAAAGCCCGCUCGCCGGAAGACCAAGGGUUCCUGUCCAACGUUAAUCGGGGCAGGGUGAGUCGACCCCUAAGGCGAGGCCGAAAGGCGUAGUCGAUGGGAAACAGGUUAAUAUUCCUGUACUUGGUGUUACUGCGAAGGGGGGACGGAGAAGGCUAUGUUGGCCGGGCGACGGUUGUCCCGGUUUAAGCGUGUAGGCUGGUUUUCCAGGCAAAUCCGGAAAAUCAAGGCUGAGGCGUGAUGACGAGGCACUACGGUGCUGAAGCAACAAAUGCCCUGCUUCCAGGAAAAGCCUCUAAGCAUCAGGUAACAUCAAAUCGUACCCCAAACCGACACAGGUGGUCAGGUAGAGAAUACCAAGGCGCUUGAGAGAACUCGGGUGAAGGAACUAGGCAAAAUGGUGCCGUAACUUCGGGAGAAGGCACGCUGAUAUGUAGGUGAAGCGACUUGCUCGUGGAGCUGAAAUCAGUCGAAGAUACCAGCUGGCUGCAACUGUUUAUUAAAAACACAGCACUGUGCAAACACGAAAGUGGACGUAUACGGUGUGACGCCUGCCCGGUGCCGGAAGGUUAAUUGAUGGGGUUAGCGCAAGCGAAGCUCUUGAUCGAAGCCCCGGUAAACGGCGGCCGUAACUAUAACGGUCCUAAGGUAGCGAAAUUCCUUGUCGGGUAAGUUCCGACCUGCACGAAUGGCGUAAUGAUGGCCAGGCUGUCUCCACCCGAGACUCAGUGAAAUUGAACUCGCUGUGAAGAUGCAGUGUACCCGCGGCAAGACGGAAAGACCCCGUGAACCUUUACUAUAGCUUGACACUGAACAUUGAGCCUUGAUGUGUAGGAUAGGUGGGAGGCUUUGAAGUGUGGACGCCAGUCUGCAUGGAGCCGACCUUGAAAUACCACCCUUUAAUGUUUGAUGUUCUAACGUUGACCCGUAAUCCGGGUUGCGGACAGUGUCUGGUGGGUAGUUUGACUGGGGCGGUCUCCUCCUAAAGAGUAACGGAGGAGCACGAAGGUUGGCUAAUCCUGGUCGGACAUCAGGAGGUUAGUGCAAUGGCAUAAGCCAGCUUGACUGCGAGCGUGACGGCGCGAGCAGGUGCGAAAGCAGGUCAUAGUGAUCCGGUGGUUCUGAAUGGAAGGGCCAUCGCUCAACGGAUAAAAGGUACUCCGGGGAUAACAGGCUGAUACCGCCCAAGAGUUCAUAUCGACGGCGGUGUUUGGCACCUCGAUGUCGGCUCAUCACAUCCUGGGGCUGAAGUAGGUCCCAAGGGUAUGGCUGUUCGCCAUUUAAAGUGGUACGCGAGCUGGGUUUAGAACGUCGUGAGACAGUUCGGUCCCUAUCUGCCGUGGGCGCUGGAGAACUGAGGGGGGCUGCUCCUAGUACGAGAGGACCGGAGUGGACGCAUCACUGGUGUUCGGGUUGUCAUGCCAAUGGCACUGCCCGGUAGCUAAAUGCGGAAGAGAUAAGUGCUGAAAGCAUCUAAGCACGAAACUUGCCCCGAGAUGAGUUCUCCCUGACUCCUUGAGAGUCCUGAAGGAACGUUGAAGACGACGACGUUGAUAGGCCGGGUGUGUAAGCGCAGCGAUGCGUUGAGCUAACCGGUACUAAUGAACCGUGAGGCUUAACCUUACAACGCCGAAGGUGUUU
rnacentral:rRNA from 1 species